rnacentral:rRNA from 1 species
CAGCAGCCGCGGUAAUACGUAGGGUGCAAGCGUUAAUCGGAAUUACUGGGCGUAAAGCGUGCGUAGGUGGUGGUUUAAGUCCGUUGUGAAAGCCCUGGGCUCAACCUGGGAAUUGCAGUGGAUACUGGGUCACUAGAGUGUGGUAGAGGAUAGUGGAAUUUCCGGUGUAGCAGUGAAAUGCGUAGAGAUCGGAAGGAACAUCUGUGGCGAAGGCGACUAUCUGGGCCAACACUGACACUGAGGCACGAAAGCGUGGGGAGCAAACAGGAUUAGAUACCCCGGUAGUCCCUGUCUCUUAUAC